UUUACUUAAUGAGGGCGAUGCCCUAAACCUUAAAGGGGCAUCAUCUGAGACGCUGUAAA
rfam:Astyanax mexicanus chromosome 9, whole genome shotgun sequence.